CCAGACAGAAUUCUAUGCACUUUC
rnacentral:miRNA from 2 species